AUGUCUGCAGGUCGCUCUCAGCACACGGCUACCUCGAGCAUGCGGCGCCGACAAGAGGCCGAGCGCGCCGUGGCAGAGGAGCGUGAGCGAGCGGCUGUAGCAGCGGCUGCUGCGGCGGCAAGAGUGUCGAGGCUGGCUGCAGCGGAGCUGGCAGCAGCCAGAGCGGAGGUAGAAGCAGCCAGGGCGGAGGUAGAAGCAGCAGCAGCAGCAGAAGCAGCCCGUGAGGCUACGGCGGAUGCCAAGGCACUCCGCGGCAGCCCCGGCAGCUCCAGCAGCUCCGCGCCUGCGGACGACGGCGCCGACGCAGAUCGCGCCAAAGUGGCGCAGGAGCGGACGGCGCAGUGGGCAGCCGAGCACGCCCGCGCUCCAGGUGGAGGCGCGCACCGCGACGGCGGCUGCAACGACCAGGACCGCGGCCUCUACGAGGUCCGGACUGUGGUCAGGGAUGUUGGUUCCAGUGUUGGGUGGCCUACCCUCACUAAAACCAACUACGUCGAGUGGGCCGGGAUCAUGAAGGUCAGGCUCCAGGUGCGGCGCAUGUGGGAGGCAGUCCAGGACAGCAACGUCGACCACCUAGAGGAUCGACGAGCGCUGGACGCCCUCAUCGCCGCAGUCCCGCCCGAGAUGCAGUUCUCGCUUUCCAACAAGCGGACUGCCAAGGAGGCUUGGGACGCCAUCGCCGCAGCACGCAUCGGCAGCGACCGUGCUCGCAAGUCCACCCUGCAGGCACUUCGUAAGGAGUGGGAGAACCUGGGCUUCAAGCCAGGUGAGGACGUUGAUGACUUUGCUCUCCGUCUCAACACUCUGCUGCAGAAGAUGGUGAAGUUUGGCGAUGCCACCUACACCGAGGAGAGAGCUGUCGAGAAGCUUUUUCGGUGCAUUCCCGAGAAGUACAAGCAGAUGGCUCGCUCGAUCGAGUCGUUGCUGGACCUCUCCACGAUGACGAUCGAGGAGGCGAUAGGUCGACUCAAGGUCGUCGACACCGACGAGCCACAGCCCCCCUCGGGGCCCGUCACCACCGGCGGGAAGCUGCUCCUAACUCGGGAGCAGUGGGAUCCCAGCCUUGGUGACAAGAAGGGGGAGCCUUCCUCCUCGACGGGCGGCCGCAAGCGUGGCAAGCAGCGUAAGGCGCGAAGAGGCCCCCCGGGCAGGGCACAAGGACGUGCCGAAGGUGACGCCCGCGGAGGCGCCAAGGACGGCGCCGCUGGCAAGCCCAGGCCGGCACAAGACAACAGUUGCCACAACUGUGGCCGAUAUGUGUCAUGCUUUGCGCUGAUCAUGGUCCUUGUGUAUCCGGUGCUCACAAUUCUAUACUUACUGAUAGGGCUGGAAGACCUUAUUUCCAGCUUAGUAUCUGGAUUAUUAACAAUUGGCCCCGGGUUUGCUGGUCCAAUAUUUUGUCUUUUCUUCCUUUCUGGUAUGAAAUCAUAA
rnacentral:rRNA from 1 species